AUGAAUGUUGGCGGUGUGCCUAAUAUAUGUAAGUCGAACGAGGUGCUUAAGUAGCAAUACGAAGGUAUCCUAGUGGCGAACGGGUGAGUAAUGCGUUGGUGACCUGCCCCAAAGUGUGGAAUAACAGUUCGAAAGGAUUGCUAAUACCGCAUGUGGUCAUUGGAUUUAGAAACCGAUGACUAAAGCCGCAAGGCGCUUUGGGAGGGGCCUGCGUUCUAUCAGUUAGUUGGUGAGGUAACGGCUUAUUAAGGCUACGACGGGUAGGGGACCUGAGAGGGUGGCCCCCCACAAUGGAACUGAAACACGGUCCAUACAUUUAUGGGUGGUAGUAGUAGGGAAUAUUGCUCAAUGGGCGAAAGCCUGAAGCAGCAACGCCGCGUGCGCGAUGAAGGUCUUCGGAUCGUAAAGCGCUUUUCUGAGAGAUGAGAAAGGACAGUAUCUCAGGAAUAAGUCUCGGCUAACUACGU
rnacentral:rRNA from 1 species